rnacentral:rRNA from 1 species
UACGAGGGGAGCAAGCGUUGUUCGGAUUUACUGGGCGUAAAGGGCGCGUAGGCGGUCGUGACACUUCACUUGUGAAAUCUCCGGGCUUAACUCGGAACGGUCAAGUGAUACUGUCGGACUAGAGUACAGAAGGGGCAACUGGAAUUCUCGGUGUAGCGGUGAAAUGCGUAGAUAUCGAGAGGAACACCUGCGGCGAAGGCGGGUUGCUGGGCUGAUACUGACGCUGAUGCGCGAAAGCCAGGGGAGCGAACGGG